GGUCUGCAUAUCCAGGCCUCUGCAAAGGUUUAUAUCAGAUAAUUUAGGAUUUGAUCCUUGUUCCACUAUGAUUCAGAUAAAGAUUUGAUCCAUAAACUAGUAGAACAUUAGAAAAAAAAUUUAGAUGUAAUCUGAAUAUUCUGGAGGGAAACUGUUCCCUUUCCUUCAUUGAAAUCUGGAGCGAUCGAUCCUAUUUUAAGUCUCACAUCGACUUCCCAAGCACUUGACUGUGCUAAAAAUUCUUUAAUCACUGAAUUAAAAAUUCAGAUAGUCCGACACCAAAGCACAGUGAGUUGCUUGCA
rnacentral:lncRNA from 1 species